GACGAACGCUGGCGGCGUGCUUAACACAUGCAAGUCGAACGGAAAGGCCCUGCUUUUGUGGGGUGCUCGAGUGGCGAACGGGUGAGUAACACGUGAGUAACCUGCCCUUGACUUUGGGAUAACUUCAGGAAACUGGGGCUAAUACCGGAUAGGAGCUCCUGCUGCAUGGUGGGGGUUGGAAAGUUUCGGCGGUUGGGGAUGGACUCGCGGCUUAUCAGCUUGUUGGUGGGGUAGUGGCUUACCAAGGCUUUGACGGGUAGCCGGCCUGAGAGGGUGACCGGCCACAUUGGGACUGAAACACGGCCCAGACUCCUACGGGAGGCAGCAGUGGGGAAUAUUGCACAAUGGGCGGAAGCCUGAUGCAGCAACGCCGCGUGCGGGAUGACGGCCUUCGGGUUGUAAACCGCUUUCGCCUGUGACGAAGCGUGAGUGACGGUAAUGGGUAAAGAAGCACCGGCUAACUACGUG
rnacentral:rRNA from 1 species